rnacentral:rRNA from 1 species
UGGCUGCAGUCGAGGAUCUUCGGCAAUGGGCGCAAGCCUGACCGAGCGACGCCGCGUGAAGGAUGAAGGCCUUCGGGUUGUAAACUUCUGUCGAGGGGGAUAAAGCCGCAAGGUUGAUAGAUCCCUGGAGGAAGCACGGGCUAAGUUCGUGCCAGCAGCCGCGGUAAGACGAACCGUGCGAACGUUGUUCGGAAUCACUGGGCUUAAAGGGCGCGUAGGCGGCUUGCCAAGUCAGUGGUGAAAUCCUCCGGCUUAACCGGAGAAGUGCCGUUGAUACUGGCGAGCUUGAGGGAGGUAGGGGCAGCUGGAACUUCUGGUGGAGCGGUGAAAUGCGUUGAUAUCAGAAGGAACGCCGGUGGCGAAAGCGAGCUGCUGGAUCUCUACUGACGCUGAGGCGCGAAAGCUAGGGGAGCAAACGGGAUUAGAUACCCCGGUAGUCCUAGCCCUAAACGAUGGGUACUAGAUUGGAGACUGAUCAUGGGUUUCCAGUCGAAGCCAAAGUUUUAAGUACCCCGCCUGGGGAGUAUGGUCGCAAGGCUGAAACUCAAAGGAAUUGACGGGGGCUCACACAA